UCGGAGACGGUGCUCGUGCGGGCGGUGAUGCGACACGCGUAUCCGAAAGACUCUCGGCAACGGAUAUCUCGGCUCCUGCAUCGAUGAAGAACGUAGCGAAAUGCGAUACUUGGUGUGAAUUGCAGAAUCCCGUGAACCAUCGAGUCUUUGAACGCAAGUUGCGCCCGAAGCCAUUAGGCUGAGGGCACGCCUGCCUGGGUGUCGCCCAUCGUUGCCCCAUUGCUUUGGCCUCGUGCUAGGCACCGAGCUGGGCGAAUGCUGGCUUCCCGCGAGCAACGCCUCACGGUUGGUUGAAAACUGAGUCCGUGGUGGAGGGCGGCGCCGUGACGGAUGGUGGUUGUU
rnacentral:rRNA from 1 species